rnacentral:rRNA from 1 species
UACGUAGGGACCAAGCGUUGUUCAGAUUUACUGGGCGUAAAGGGCGCGUAGGCGGCUUAACAAGUCACUUGUGAAAUCUCCGGGCUUAACCCGGAGCGGUCAAGUGAUACUGUCGUGCUAGAGUGCGGAAGGGGCUACUGGAAUUCUCGGUGUAGCGGUGAAAUUCGUAGAUAUUGGGAAGAACACCGGUGGCGAAGGCGGCGAGCUGGCCUGUACCUGACGCUGAGGAGCGAAAGCGUGGGGAGCAAACAGG